AAAGAAAGCUGGAGGCAUGCCUAACACAUGCAAGUCGAACGAGACCUUCGGGUCUAGUGGCGCACGGGUGCGUAACGCGUGGGAACCUGCCUUUAGGUUCGGAAUAACUCAGAGAAAUUUGAGCUAAUACCGGAUGAUGUCUUCGGACCAAAGAUUUAUCGCCUUUAGAUGGGCCCGCGUUGGAUUAGCUAGUUGGUGGGGUAAAGGCCUACCAAGGCGACGAUCCAUAGCUGGUCUGAGAGGAUGAUCAGCCACACUGGGACUGAGACACGGCCCAGACUCCUACGGGAGGCAGCAGUGGGGAAUAUUGGACAAUGGGCGAAAGCCUGAUCCAGCAAUGCCGCGUGAGUGAUGAAGGCCUUAGGGUUGUAAAGCUCUUUUACCCGAGAUGAUAAUGACAGUAUCGGGAGAAUAAGCUCCGGCUAACUCCGUG
rnacentral:rRNA from 1 species